UACGAAGGGGGCUAGCGUUGCUCGGAAUUACUGGGCGUAAAGCGCACGUAGGCGGCUUUCUAAGUCGGGGGUGAAAUCCUGGAGCUCAACUCCAGAACUGCCUUCGAUACUGGAGAGCUCGAGUCCGGGAGAGGUGAGUGGAACUGCGAGUGUAGAGGUGAAAUUCGUAGAUAUUCGCAAGAACACCAGUGGCGAAGGCGGCUCACUGGCCCGGUACUGACGCUGAGGUGCGAAAGCGUGGGGAGCAACAGGG
rnacentral:rRNA from 1 species